CCGCAUCCUCGUUCGUAACCGGCGACAAUUGCACUUUUGCUUCACAAUCAUCAAUUGUAUUGACUGUGCUUGAAUCGAACUCCCACACCUCUGAUCUGUUCUGAACCUCCGCCGGGUUGAUCGAAUCGCACAUCAUUGUCGUGUCUUCAUCUUGUUUUGGUGUGAACCAGCAACCGCCAUCGCAUUCCGCCAUAACCACCACUACUUAAUCGUUCUCUAGUCUCACCACGUGUCGCCAGUUGUUGUGGCCGUCGUCAUUAGCGUUAGAUCAGAUUGCUGGUCGCAAGCCGUUGCCUACCGCUGCCGCGGUUCAGGUCACCACUACAGCACACCGCCGUAACGCCACCAUGUGCCGCCAUGAAGCAAAGAUCGCCGCCGGUUUGAAUCGUGAUUACGAGCAGGUGUGCAACCAGCCAUUCAUUCGAUUAUUUGGGAGUUAGUACGACUUGAGGACGACCCGAGUUGGUUUUGCUUUGCCGAAAUAAGGUAAUAUGGGAUGAUCUGGGAUUUCAGUGAGGAGCGUUAGGAAGUUACUGGCAACGAUUAUUAUUUCAGUAAUGUAAUAAAUGUGAUUAGGAACUUUUAUUUAAUGUUAUGGACUAGUUUUUAGUUUUGAUACCUGUAAGAGUGACACAUCAGCCCUAGCGGGGUUGGGGUGUUACAUACAU